rnacentral:rRNA from 1 species
GUUGGUUUUAAAGAUCUAACACUGGCCCGUCGUUUUACAGCCUAUACUGCCCGACGACGAAAGAGCGCUCCUGACGUGCGGGGACGGGUGAUCACGUGGGCACUACUAUUGGGAUAACUCCGAGGAAACCGAGGGUCUAAUACCGAAAUAAUCUAUUUUAUCUUCAUGGUGAAAUAUCUGACAAGACGGUAUUUCGAGCUGUCGCUAUAACAGAUAGGGCUCCGCAGAGCGUCAUUUAGCUACGUUUAGGUAGAGGUAACGGACAUUCAACUCCAAAGAGGCGAACGAAAUAGCCGU